rnacentral:rRNA from 1 species
AAAUUGGAGAGUUUGAUCCUGGCUCAGAACGAACGCUGGCGGCGUGCCUAACACAUGCAAGUCGAACGAGAAAGCCUGAGCAAUCGGGUGAGUAAAGUGGCGGACUGGUGAGUAACACGUAGGUAAUCUACCUGCAAAAUGGGAAUAACUCCGCGAAAGUGGGGCUAAUACCGAAUAACGUUCAGAAAACAUAAGUUUUCUGAACCAAAGAUGGCUGAAUCCGUAAGGAUGCUAUUGUUUGCAGAUGAGCCUGCGUACCAUUAGCUAGUUGGUAGGGUAAUAGCCUACCAAGGCAACGAUGGUUAGCCGGCCUGAGAGGGCGAUCGGCCACAUUGGGACUGAGAUACGGCCCAGACUCCUACGGGAGGCAGCAGUGGGGAAUAUUGCGCAAUGGAGGAAACUCUGACGCAGCGACGCCGCGUGGAGGAUGAAGGUUUUCGGAUCGUAAACUCCUUUUAGAGGGGAAGAAAACUAUCUUGUUAACAAUGAGAUAGCUUGACAGUACCAUCAGAAAAAGCCCCGGCUAACUCCGUGCCAGCAGCCGCGGUAAUACGGAGGGGGC